UACGUAGGGGGCAAGCGUUGUCCGGAAUCAUUGGGCGUAAAGCGCGUGUAGGCGGCUCGAUAAGUCCGCUCUGAAAGUCCAGGGCUCAACCCUGGGAUGCGGGUGGAUACUGUCGGGCUCGAGUCCGGAAGAGGCGAGUGGAAUUCCCGGUGUAGCGGUGAAAUGCGCAGAUAUCGGGAGGAACACCAAUGGCGAAGGCAGCUCGCUGGGACGUGACUGACGCUGAGACGCGAAAGCGUGGGGAGCAACAGG
rnacentral:rRNA from 1 species